AACUCUUUCCUGAUAGUCCAACAAUCAAAACUUUAAAGCACUACGGCUGGCGGGAGACAAACCCUAAGCUUAGGUAAGGCACAUUGCAUUAAACAACUAACAAGAAAAGAUAAAACAAUUCUCUCUCCCUCGAAGACUACGCUAAACAACUCUCCCUCUUGUAAAACUGCCAAUGGCUUCACAUUUCCUUCUGUUUCUUCCUCUCUGACUUGUUCUUCUGCUUCUAUGGCAUCCCAAUUCUCUCUGCAACUCCUCAAGCCAUCCUUCUUCUCAAAAUCUUUUGGAUCAAAAGGCAAAAAGAGGAUGAAUGCCGAUGUGACCAGCUUAUUAAAAUUAAAUGGGAAAGAACUUGGAAAUUCUCUCUUUCAGAGGAAUAAUGUUUCAAUUGGACUUUUCUUUGCACACUAUGCUUCUUCAGUUUCCGUUUCUUUGAGAGCAUUAACACCUUUGGCUUCUUCUGCUUCUGCUGAAGAAACUGAUGGUGACAAUAAUACUGCUGCCAUGGGUGAAGCUGGCAAUAAGGAAGUGGAGUUCAAUCGCGUAAAUUGUCUUGUAUGGGUGUUGCAUGAAUCUGCUGCUAGCUUUUCUCUUGCAGUUCAGUCACUUGGACUUGCAGGAAGUAGUUCAGAGCUUACAAUGGCUUGGAAUGGGAAGGAUGUCCAUGAAUGGCAUAAACGUAUUGCUUAUCAGGUAGCUGUUUAUGCUUUGUUGAAAACGGCAAUUGAAGUUGAGAUGUUGCUUUCUCUUGAUCGUCACAAAAAUGCAUUUCCAGUUAAAGAAAUCUUGACCUCAAAGAUAAACUUGGUGGGGGAGUACAUUGAAAGUCUAUUGAACAUGAAGCAUGCACACUUAGUACAAUGGUUUAGAGUGGUGGAAUUGCCUCGUAUAGUAAGUUUUUUCACUCCCUUGCUGAAGAAAUGGUCCAUGGAAUAUGCUGGAAGUGGUGUUGCAGGAAUCAUUGUGGCAACAAGCUGCUGUGCUGCUGUUGGAAAACUGGGUUCUGGAAGAAUUUCCUGUCCUUUGUUUAUAUUUUCAAUUGAGGAUGUAUUAAUAGAGCUCUUGGAUCUUUCACAUAGUCUUGUAGAAGUGGACAAAUUACACCAGCUAGCAACUGAAGCAGGAUUUGAACUCAACUUCCUAUUCCAUUUUGGAGCAAAGUUUAUGCCUUGCAACAAAAUUGAAGAGCUAGAAUUCUGGAUUGGGCUGGCUCAGCAAAAACUCUCAGCAGCACUUUACAAAGAAAUUUUGGUUGGAGGCAUAGAAAACUCUCAUGAAAAUGCCAAUUCUGCGGUUCAUGAAAGUCUCCUGGUUCAGGCAGACAGUUUGGCUACUCUCGGACUUUUUACAUAUCUAGGGAAGAAGACUAGAUUAUUCUUGUCCAAAAUGAGUGUUAAGGAUCUCGAUGAGCUUGUCAAAGACUUCCUCAACUACUUGGAGUGUGGUAUCCUUUUCACUCAUCCUGAACUUGCUUCCAUAUCAGCAUAUGAAAGUUUCAUGGAGGUAGUAACUGAAGAAAUUGGAUGGCUCGAUUUUUAUGCUACUUGUUUUCCUCUGAGCAAACGAGAAAGGAAAAGGUCAAAGCAGCAUCCGAUUCAAGCUGAGAAAGAGAUUAUCCUAUUCACAGUGUUUACUGUUUGUUAUGAUGUUUUCUCUGGCUUUGCUCACUUCAGCCGUUCAACUCAACAGUCCUUAGAUGCAGAAUCACUAGAAUUCUUGCUCCGGAGCCAGAGCCUCUUAACUGUUUGUCUGGAAGACUACCGAGCAGUUUAUGACAGAUAUCCUGAAUUACGGAAGAUUGCAGAAGUAGGUGCCUCUGAUCACACCCUCUCUGUAGGAAUAAGGGCUGCAGACAAGCUGUCUGUUCAAUUGGAAGCACAACAGAGGUCAAAUGAGUUAACAUUACAGGGAUGCUUAAAAGUUAAAUCUCGAGAAGGCAACCCGAGAAAGGAUUUGGAAGCGGCCCCCAGCACGUCCACCAAAUCAAGUCAUCUGCAUGAGAGUUUACUUAGGAGAUACAGUGCCAAAUUAGUAUCUACAAGCACCGAUGUAUGGAUGGGAACCCAAUUGCUCUUUGUAGACAUUAUGGAUGCUUUGGAACUACUCUUAAAGCAAGUACGCGGUCAGAGAGUUUCAAAGAGGGAAAGAAGGAAGUUGAAGAGAACUCUAAAUGACAUUGCGACCCUUAUCCCAAUUACAAUUCUAAUGCUUCUUCCUUUUUCUUGUAGCAACUCUUCAACAUAUCCACGUUUUGGCUCCUAAUCACUUGCUGCUGAGUCUCUACAACUUCUCAGCUAAGUUUUAGAAGUUUUGCAGGAUAUAAUAAACUGAAAAUUCUGCCUUAUAACAUUUUUGGCAUUUUAAGGAUCCUUGUUAUCGGCUCUCUAGCUUCACACCACCAGUUAUAGUGGUCUUGGUAGGUGGCACCUCAAGGCUAGAGCAUUUGUGUCAUUUAUCCUGAGAUUCUAGCCUCUUUCUUACAUCAAGUGGUCAUGGAAUUUGUUUGAAGCGUAUGGCCGCAAUAAUCUAGAGAUGUUUUGGCAUUAGUUGAAUCAACAAAACCCCAACUAAAGACCUUGCAUGUUUUCUUUUGCCUUCUCUUGCUCAGAAUCCAUAGACGGUAACAGCCAUAUGAUUUGCAAUUUAGUUUCAUGCCAAUUCUUAAUGGUUAGCCAACAUGCACACUCUCUCCCACUAGUUAACCAUUAUAGUUCCAUGAGCUGCCACGAAGUGGUGUUUAUCUAAGCAGACAGUGUACGAUUCUUGAAAAGAACUGAUUAAUUGUAAUCUUCUCUAUUAUCAGGUCUCUGCCGUAGGCCAUGCAGCAAUGCUAGCAGCUAUCCAGAGAUACAUGCCGCGUUUGAUUCCUUCCCCAUACUCGUCUGAGCGGCUUGAUGUUGUAAAACAACUAAACAGAGCCAAGAAGAUUGAAGUUCUAUCGUUGAGCAACCUUCAAGAUCCAUCCUGUAGAAUCAACCUUGAGGACCCAUCUGCUAAUUCUGAUGUCUGAUAAAUUGCUGUAAUGGUUGCGUCUCCAUAAAGCCACAAUACAUAAUUGUAAAUGCUCAAUUUGUAAAUACAUGAUAAAGAUGCAUGAUUUAAAUAAUAAUUACAUCCUACAGAGUAUAGAUUGAAAUCCA